UACGUAGGGUCCGAGCGUUGUCCGGAAUUACUGGGCGUAAAGAGCUCGUAGGUGGUUUGUCGCGUUGUUCGUGAAAACUCACAGCUCAACUGUGGGCGUGCGGGCGAUACGGGCAGACUAGAGUACUGCAGGGGAGACUGGAAUUCCUGGUGUAGCGGUGGAAUGCGCAGAUAUCAGGAGGGAACACCGGUGGCGAAGGCGGGCCUCUGGGCAGUAACUGACGCUGGAGGAGCGAAAAGCGUGGGGAGCGAACAGG
rnacentral:rRNA from 1 species